CAUUGCAUUCUCUUUUCCUUCAUAGUUAGAUUUAGUAUGAAAUGAAGCAUUAUGAUCAUGUCUCAACAUUGUUAGAGAAUGAUCACAUAUCAUCAUUUCCUUUUGUCAUCAUCACCCAGGAAGAACAACCAAAACUUAUGAGUUGGAACACUCAUUUGAGCAAGAAAAAACAAGCAACUUAUGCAAAAGAAUGGUUGAGGUUGUAAAGUAUUUACAAACCUCAACCUCGAACUUUCAUGUCGAAAGUUUAAACGUGUUUAGUAUAACAUUGACCACGGGAGUACUAUGUUAUUCUCUAAAACACUAUUAUCUACUAGUGCAAUAAUGUAUGUUACUACAAUUAUUUAGUGUUAUUCCCUAAAACAGAAUUGAUUUUUAUUUUUAUUAAAUCCAUAAACAGAAUUGAUAUGAUACUUGAGAUAAAUUAUACGA